UCUCCUUCUCUCCUUCUCUCCUUAAACUCUCGGAUGGAGUAUAUAUUGUUGGUGUGAUUUCCUUUGAGCAUUGCUGCCCUUUUAUAGCUGAAGAAAGGAGAAGAUGAGUAAGGGGUGGGCAAUAAAAAAACAAGGGACGGUGGAGUGGAUGAGUGGAGUGGAUGGAUAAUGAGUGGAGUGGGUGAGGAAUGUCUUUUCACUAACACUAUAUAAUAUUUAUU
rnacentral:lncRNA from 1 species